AGACAAAACUGAUUAAGGUGUUUGAUAUUUAAAAUUCAGGCCUUAAUCCUGUCACCUUAGGUCGAUCGGUACCUCAUGUUAAUUUCCUUUUUUAAUUAAUAAUUAGUUCCUAAACUUGUCUAGGUCACACCCAACAAACUUUCUCCUGGGCUAUUAGCUCAGGCGGUUAGAGCGCACCCCUGAUAAGGGUGAGGUCCCUGGUUCAAGUCCAGGAUGGCCCAUUCGUUGUUGGGGGUAUAGCUCAGUUGGUAGAGCGCCUGCUUUGCAAGCAGGAUGUCAGCGGUUCGAGUCCGCUUACCUCCACUGAUCAACUACCUAAUAACUCCAAUUGGAGAUAGUUAUUGUUUCGAUGUGUCUUAGAUGUUGUUCAACUGUAUGAACUUAGCUUCCUAUCAUUCCUUAUUUAAUUUAUAGGAUGAUAAGACGCUGAGCUCUCUGCAUAUUCGCAAGAAUAUCAGUUUGAAUCAGUAGAACCUUGACAACUGCAUAGGUAAAGUCUGGAAAAAUAAAGCAUCUCAUAGAUGCGUAUAAAUUUUUUUUAUACGUAAAUUCUUGAGUUAGAGCCUAAUUUCUAUUAUUAAACUACUUUUUAUAAGAUAGUUUUUAUAGAUCUUAGUUUUAAGUGAAGACAUUUUUUUAAU
rnacentral:tRNA from 1 species